rnacentral:rRNA from 1 species
UGUUGUUAGAGAAGAACAAUGAUAAGAGUAACUGCUUGUCCCUUGGCGGUAUCUAACCAGAAAGCCACGGCUAACUACGGGCCAGCAGCCGCGGUAAUACGUAGGUGGCAAGCGUUGUCCGGAUUUAGUGGGCGUAAAGCGCGCGCAGGCGGUCUUUUAAGUCUGAUGUGAAAGCCCCCGGCUUAACCGGGGAGGGUCAUUGGAAACUGGAAGACUGGAGUGCAGAAGAGGAGAGUGGAAUUCCACGUGUAGCGG